rnacentral:lncRNA from 1 species
UUCCCUCGAGCUGGCACCUGCCCGCCCCAUCAGCCCCUGUCAUUUCCUUCCCUGUGUUUCAGAUUGAGCUUUCAAAGCCCCGAGCAGCUGCUUAGCCAAGAAGUCAUUUAGAAAAUGGAAACAAACCACCCAGCACCUCAAGAAAAGCUCCUUCUCUGAAUCACAUCAAAAAAAAAAAUGUCUUUACUCACAUCUUGUUCAUGAUGCCCAGGAGGCCAAGGAACCAUUCUACCCAAGGGCAGAAGAGGAGUUAACCUGCAUCAGUGCCAGGAAGUAACAGACCAAAAGUCACUCUGGCUAUUGCUUGGAACAAGUUCUGCGCAACCAGUUACCGUUUCUCAAGUGUUCUGAAAGUGAGCCAAGAGCAGUCUGCAGA